ACGACAAUGGAAUGGAAGGCUUCGGAAAGAUAAAUUUGCGCAUCAACUUAUAAGCUGAUUGUAGUCGUAUCUUAUGGUAUCUCCCCGUCAGCAACGCCAGAUAGUUAGAGGAGCCAACUACAUUGUAGUGAUAUCUUAUGGUGUGGGAGUGGCAUUUGAUAGUAUCUCCCCGUCAGCAACUCCAGAUUGUUAGAGGAGACAACUACAUCUUAGUGGUAUCUUAUGGUAUCUCCCCGUCAGCAACACCAGAUAGUUAAAAGAGCCAACUACAUUGUAGUCGUAUCUU
rnacentral:lncRNA from 1 species